rnacentral:rRNA from 1 species
AACAACUUUCAACAAUGGAUCUCUUGGCUCUCGCAUCGAUGAAGAACGCAGCGAAAUACGAUACGUAAUGUGAAUUGCAGAAUUCCGUGAAUCAUCGAAUCUUUGAACGCACCUUGCGCCUCUUGGUAUUCCGAGGGGCAUGCCUGUUUGAGUGUCAUU